GGCCUACAUUUUAUGUACUCACUGCAUACAGCUUAAUGAAUUGGAUUCUUAUGGGGUUAGAAAGGAUAAAAAACAUCACCCCUGUUCUCAGGAAGCUUAAAACUGAGUUGAUACUAUAUGCCAUAUACAUGAGAAAAGAGACAAGAAAAUUCAGUCAGCUAUUUAAAUGUAGAAAUUGCCUUUCUUGGAUCACUGCAUAUGAGACACUGCCAGGCAGAUUAAGAAAAAAGGGAACUAGCUUCAAGGUGUGAGAACACAAGACGAGGAGAGUGUGUUUUCUGUGGGUGCUUCCACUAACAGCCUGCAUGCAAACCAUGGAGCUUCAGGGACUCUGGCCACCCCAGAUUCCCAUUUCUUUAGAGAAACAAGAAUUUUAAAAGAAGAAAGAUUAAAAUGAAAGAAAAGAGAAGCAAGAAGUCUAUAGAAUGAACAGCAUGCAGGAAGAACCUUUCAAAAGGUUACAACCAGAGACCUGAAGGAAGCAAGGAAGAAAGCCACAUGGUUGUCAAAGAGAAGAGGAAAGGAGAUCACUAAGCUGGAUGACGUUUUCUGUUUCUUUGAAAACAGAGAAGAUGACAAGUUAGGGAGAGAUCAGAGGUCAUACUGUGAAGCACCUUUGGAUAAACGGCAGGGACUUUGGAUUUUCUUUUUGAAUAUAAGCAUAAUCCAUUGAAAGGUCUCAUGCAGGGAAGUGGCAAAACACUUUUAAAAUUUUUCAUCUUUUCUUUCUGAAGCAGAGUUCACUCUCCAUUUAUUUGUCUUCUUUGAUAUCUCUCAAUAGAAUGUUGCAGUUUUAGUAUUCUCCUAUUAAA
rnacentral:lncRNA from 1 species